GUCAUUAGUUGCUACAUUCAGUUGGGCACUCUAAUGAGACUGCCGGUGACAAACCGGAGGAAGUGGGGAUGACGUCAAGUCCUCAUGGCCCUUAUAGGUGGGGCUACACACGUCAUACAAUGGAUGGUACAAAGGGUCGCCAACCCGCGAGGGGAGCCAAUCCCAUAAAGCCAUUCGUAGUCCGGAUCGCAGUCUGCAACUCGACUGCGUGAAGUCGGAAUCGCUAGUAAUCGUGGAUCAGAAUGUCACGGUGAAUACGUUCCCGGGUCCUU
rnacentral:rRNA from 1 species